UACGGAGGGGGCUAGCGUUGUUCGGAAUUACUGGGCGUAAAGGGCGCGUAGGCGGCCCUCCAAGUCGGGUGUGAAAGCCCACGGCUCAACCGUGGAAUUGCACUCGAGACUGAAGGGCUCGAGGACGGGAGAGGAUGGUGGAAUUCCCAGUGUAGAGGUGAAAUUCGUAGAUAUUGGGAAGAACGCCGGUGGCGAAGGCGGCCAUCUGGACCGUAUCGUGACGCUGAGGCGCGAAAGCGUGGGGAGCAAACAGG
rnacentral:rRNA from 1 species